CUUCGGGGCUGGGACCGCGCUGCGCGCUGGGAGCUCGGGCUCCUUUGGCCGUAUCUGUCCAAAUUACAAAUGCAGAAACCCUCUGUCCCAGCUGGGCUGCAGCCCAGCAGCGGUCCCACAGAUAAACCGAGGCUUGUGGGACGUGAUUUAUGUACAAGGUUAUCCUUUGCAACAUCGUUUCUAAAAGCCAAGGAGUGAAACAGCCUAAAGCCCCACCAGUAGGGAGCUGAUUAAAGACAUUGGCACAAUCCAUAUAAUGGAUAUACUGUACUGUGCGGCUGUAGAGAACAGUGAGGAGCCAUCUCUAAGCUUUAUUAGAUUUCUUAACUCUUAACUAAUUUACACAAAAGUAGCCACACAUGACUAGCAGCUACGGUCUUGGACAGCGCCACUCUGGAAAAUGGCUUCACAUCUAUGAGCUUCACAUCCGUAAAACAGGCCCUCUCCGGGUGGAUCUCGGCGGGGCUAGCAGGAGGGAGGAUUCCGAGCCAAGAACUCCUUUUAUCAAACCCGGAGCAUUUUCCAUCCUCUGGCCUUUAUGUGUUCCACGGCUCAUUCGCGAAAAUUACUGGCAGGUUUAUCUGCAACUAGCACAGAAAGAGACACCUCUCAGCAGCCGGUUCUGGACGUGAAAAGCAAACUUGCAGCGGCUUUUCCAUUCUCCUCUUCUCCCUAGUGGUUUAUAAUCUCACAGUAGAAUUUCAUUUCCCCCAGAAACUUGGCACCGGAGGUGUCAGCCGGGGAACAUAUUUGUUUGUGUAAAUUAAAAGAAGAAUAUGUUUUGACCAUAUUUAAGUUCUAACCGCACCAAAGAAAUAAAUACUGACUUGCACAACGCUUCUCGCUGCAUGGUUCUGGCUCACCUCCCCAGACUCUGCCUUUGUUUAUAAAACCCAAAGCCGAUGAGAACUCUGAAUGGCUUAUCGCCUCAGGAAGGUACAGGGACAAUCUCAGGGGCCGUGUCCACCCCCACCCGGGGCCCAUCUGGCAGGUCUGCUUACCUCGUCUGGGACUUGCUUCCCCUGACACAUUGUGUCCUUGCUGGGGCGGGCGAGGGCAUGGAAACAGGCUCCCCCACCCAGGCCCUCUGGACGGGCACUGGGCAGUCGCUGCAGAAAUUUAAAAAUGCACAUAUCGGGAUCCCUGGGUGGC